UACGGAGGGAGCUAGCGUUGUUCGGAAUUACUGGGCGUAAAGCGCACGUAGGCGGCUUUGUAAGUUAGAGGUGAAAGCCCGGGGCUCAACUCCGGAACUGCCUUUAAGACUGCAUCGCUUGAAUCCAGGAGAGGUGAGUGGAAUUCCGAGUGUAGAGGUGAAAUUCGUAGAUAUUCGGAAGAACACCAGUGGCGAAGGCGGCUCACUGGACUGGUAUUGACGCUGAGGUGGCGAAAGCGUGGGGAGCAAACAGG
rnacentral:rRNA from 1 species